GGCAGUGGCACAUGUCUGUAGUCCCAGCUACUCAGGAGUCUGAGGCAGGAGGAUAGGUUGAGCCCAGGAGUUCUGGGCUACAGUGCACUUUGCAGAUCUGGUAAGAACUCUGAGUCCUGCAUCAAUAUGGCGACCUCCUGGGGAGCCACCAUGUUGCCUAAGGAAGGGUAAACCAGACCAGGUUGGAAAUGGAACAGGUCAAAACUCCCAUACUGAUCAGUAGUAGGAUUUCACCAAUGAAUAGCCACUGUACUCUAGCCUGGGCAUCACAGCAAGACCCGAUGUCA
ensembl:misc_RNA Metazoa_SRP Metazoan signal recognition particle RNA